UGUGUGUAUAUGUAUGUGUGCAUAUGUAUGUAUGUAUGUAUACACAUAGUCUGAUGAGUUACAAAUA
rnacentral:miRNA from 1 species